AUGCCUUUGCACAUCCCUCGCGCCAGCAGGUUCCUCCUUCUUCCGUCCUGCUGCUCCCCUCUGGGGCCGCCGCCCUUCCCUUCCUCCAUCUCCGCCCCUCCAGCGAGCACCUCCUCUUCCCUGCCUCGCUGGCUUCAUUCUCUGCCGCUCUGCUCAUUGGCCGUCGCUCCAGGUCGCGGAGGAGGAUCUGCCACCGGAUCCACGCAGUUGAGGGUGAGGAGGAUGGAGGUGACGGAAGCAGCAGCAAGGAUGGUGGCUGGUGAUGGGUUAGGGGCCAACAGAGGAGGGGGGAGGGGGCGACGUCGUGCUUCUUGCCACCUCCACGUCCUCGUCUCGUCGCCCAGUAGUCCGUUGCUCCUUGUCUUGCAACUCCAGCGACAACAGUUCGUCUCCGUGAUCCUUCUGCUCCUCCCGCUUCUCUCCCUCCAUACUAAAUAG
rnacentral:rRNA from 1 species